CAGACUAUUUCCCAGGCUGUACACAUUUGCUGAAUCUUCACAGAGGCAGGGUAACCAUGGUGAGAAAGAUGUUGACGACUUGGAUGGCGAACAGUGCAAAUGACGGAGGGAGUAACAAAGCUGUCCCUAAAGAGAUCACAUUUAAGCAGAAACCUGAAAGAAAUGAUUGAGCAUGUCAGGUAAGGAUCAGGGGAAAGAAGAUUCCAGGCAAA
rnacentral:lncRNA from 1 species